CCCUUCCUAGACAUCACACAAGUGUUGGCAGUGGAGGCAAGCAAGGACUUCUGAAGCCCACAAGCUUCAUAGAUCUGAAAAAAGGAGCAGUCACUUUCCAGAGAAGAGAACCUGGAAGACCCGGCUGCUGCUGGGACAACCUCUGCUUGCUCCUUGUAACCACCAUGAGAAACUCUGCAGGCAGCUGGUAAUACUACUGGGGGAAAAGUCCUCUUGCUCUGAGGCUGAAAUGUUUCACUGGCUCAGUUUGAUAUUAAGGAAGGUGUUGGGGAGUCCAGAUUUCCACUGGAUGCCUAGCCUUUUUUUUUUUUUUUUUUUCCCUGCUGCUUUUCCUCUGUCUGGCUUCAGGUUAGAAGAUAGAACUGCCCCAGCAUUAGUUUCCAGAGUCCUCUGCUGCUGGGCAAGGCGCCUCUCCUCCCAGUGCCGGCUGGCAGCCCGGCCCUGCAGCUUGGCUGCCUCCCCUUCCACUGGGAAGGUUAAAAAAAGGAAACCCAAACCUCAAACCGACCAAAAAAUCCCUCCUUGAAACUAAACCCGAUUUCCGACUCCCCUUUGAAAAGGAAGUGCCUUUCUUCCCAUGCAGCUCUAACAAUGACCCUCUUUGGUCUCUGAAAAGUUAAGCUGCUCUGCUCUGAUGUCUCAUUGAGUCCCUGCAGAUUUUAAGUAGCUUGAUGUAUAUGGCUCUCUGCCAUUCCCUUGCCAGGGAUAUUUUUAAAUAGCCAUUAUUUUGGUGGAAGACAUGAAAAGCCAAGUUCUCUCUAUUGCUGGCCGUGCAAAUCCUGCUCCUGAGGCUGUGUUGAAAUGGCUGAUGUCAGGAUGCAGGCAACAGCAUUUUUGGCACUGCUGGGAGGUGAAAUUGCUCUUGGCAGGAGCAGCCCAGCUGUUUCUUUUAUCUCUGUUCAUGGCAAGGGGCUAGGUGGGGAAGGGAGGGAUUAAUGUUUGCUACACAAGUUCGAAUAUUUUGGAAGCACUAUCAACAAUGUGUGUUGGGGGGAAACAGUGACGCUGUCUUGUCAGUAUAUGGUUCAGCUUAUGUUUACCUCCGUCUUUCAAAGGGCUUGAGCUGUACUCUGAGCUAGUGCAAAAUUGCUUGCUAGCUGUGAAGCAGCCUGCUUUUCUCUCUGGAAUAGUGGAACUACUUUCAGGACAUUAUUAGGACUGGGAAAAACUACCCAGCGUGUCGGAAGAGAAUUUAAAUCAGGCCCAGAGCAACUGGCACUUGGAUAUGACAAUUUUACGGGAGUACUGCGAGGCAGCAAGGGGAUGUUAUCCUGUGCUACCGUGACCACCAGCAUUUGGGGAGAUGGAAGCUGCAUUUAAGGAUUCUGCCAGGCAAAAGAGAGAAGUGACCCUGGACCCUUCAGUUCAUAGAGAGCUGGUUGGCACUUACUUUGGUUGGCCCAAAGGAAAUACAAUCAAGUGUGUGUGAAAGAGCAAGCACUGGGUCACAGCUCCGAGAGCAGCAGUAAGAAGCACUCUUUCUCUGCAAAGCAAGGGGCUUAUGGGCAAAACACAGCCAUUCUCAGACAGCUCAAUGAAACACACACAACCUGAACAAAAACAGCAGCACCAUGACUUUUCCUUGUCACAGCUCAAAGGAGGAAGCAACUGCAUCUGCUACCCAGACUGCACGCUGCUAUUUCCAGGUGUGUUUUCCCCCUGCCAAACCUGCAGCAUAGGAAGCAAGCCCUGCCUGUUGCAUGGCUGGCUAAUCUCCUAUCAUUCAUUCUUCCAUUCAGCAAUGUAGCAUUGUGUGUUCUGUGUUUGGUAUUGCUGAAAUAAAGAGCAUAACUUGAGACAGAGUACAUAUGCCUGAAGAUUUUCUAGAAAGCAUAAACCUGAAGAAGAGAACAAAUUUUGCAUUGUGACCUUUAUUUUGAACUUCUUUACUUUCUUGCAGUGUGGGACAGGGACUUGAUUUUGUCCAGGACAACAGCAAUAACUUUUUUUCUUAGAGACUGGCCCUAGUGCUGCAGAAUUUAGGCUUUUUAGUCCUUGAGUGAUGAAGACUUGAUGAAGUGCUGGGUCUGCAGACAAGCUGGAAAAAUAACUUCUGCAGCCAAAUACAAGCUUCUUCAGCCUCAGCAGGCGCUCUCUUUAGUGGAGGAGAACCACCUUGUUCUCCUUUAUAGCUCAUAUUAAGCCAGACAGGACUGCUCUGCACAGAAGACAGAUUUCAGAGGAUAGUGAAAAAAAAACACCACCAUAAGAGAGAAGUGUCUCUGCUGCCUAUGGUCCUGUGCAAAGACAGAAGGAAUCCCAGCUGAAGCAAAAUUCACCGGGACAAAAAUAGAAAAGGGAUACCUGAGGGAAAAUGCAGGAGGGGGGCAAUGUGGAUGUAAUUUAAUUACAGCUG